rnacentral:snRNA from 1 species
GUGCUUGCUUCAGCAGCACAUAUACUAAAAUUGGAACAAUACAGAGAAGAUGAGCAUGAUCCUGAACAUGGAUGACACACAAAUACAUGAAGCAUUCCAUAUAUUU